rnacentral:rRNA from 1 species
AAAUUGAAGAGUUUGAUCAUGGCUCAGAUUGAACGCUGGCGGCAGGCCUAACACAUGCAAGUCGAACGGUAACAGGAAGCAGCUUGCUGCUUUGCUGACGAGUGGCGGACGGGUGAGUAAUGUCUGGGAAACUGCCUGAUGGAGGGGGAUAACUACUGGAAACGGUGGCUAAUACCGCAUAAUGUCGCAAGACCAAAGAGGGGGACCUUCGGGCCUCUUGCCAUCAGAUGUGCCCAGAUGGGAUUAGCUUGUUGGUGAGGUAACGGCUCACCAAGGCGACGAUCCCUAGCUGGUCUGAGAGGAUGACCAGCCACACUGGAACUGAGACACGGUCCAGACUCCUACGGGAGGCAGCAGUGGGGAAUAUUGCACAAUGGGCGCAAGCCUGAUGCAGCCAUGCCGCGUGUAUGAAGAAGGCCUUCGGGUUGUAAAGUACUUUCAGCGGGGAGGAAGGUGUUGUGGUUAAUAACCGCAGCAAUUGACGUUACCCGCAGAAGAAGCACCGGCUAACUCCGUGCCAGCAGCCGCGGUAAUACGGAGGGUGCAAGCGUUAAUCGGAAUUACUGGGCGUAAAGCGCACGCAGGCGGUCUGUCAAGUCGGAUGUGAAAUCCCCGGGCUCAACCUGGGAACUGCAUUCGAAACUGGCAGGCUUGAGUCUUGUAGAGGGGGGUAGAAUUCCAGGUGUAGCGGUGAAAUGCGUAGAGAUCUGGAGGAAUACCGGUGGCGAAGGCGGCCCCCUGGACAAAGACUGACGCUCAGGUGCGAAAGCGUGGGGAGCAAACAGGAUUAGAUACCCUGGUAGUCCACGCCGUAAACGAUGUCUACUUGGAGGUUGUGCCCUUGAGGCGUGGCUUCCGGAGCUAACGCGUUAAGUAGACCGCCUGGGGAGUACGGCCGCAAGGUUAAAACUCAAAUGAAUUGACGGGGGCCCGCACAAGCGGUGGAGCAUGUGGUUUAAUUCGAUGCAACGCGAAGAACCUUACCUGGUCUUGACAUCCACAGAACUUUCCAGAGAUGGAUUGGUGCCUUCGGGAACUGUGAGACAGGUGCUGCAUGGCUGUCGUCAGCUCGUGUUGUGAAAUGUUGGGUUAAGUCCCGCAACGAGCGCAACCCUUAUCCUUUGUUGCCAGCGGUCCGGCCGGGAACUCAAAGGAGACUGCCAGUGAUAAACUGGAGGAAGGUGGGGAUGACGUCAAGUCAUCAUGGCCCUUACGACCAGGGCUACACACGUGCUACAAUGGCGCAUACAAAGAGAAGCGACCUCGCGAGAGCAAGCGGACCUCAUAAAGUGCGUCGUAGUCCGGAUUGGAGUCUGCAACUCGACUCCAUGAAGUCGGAAUCGCUAGUAAUCGUGGAUCAGAAUGCCACGGUGAAUACGUUCCCGGGCCUUGUACACACCGCCCGUCACACCAUGGGAGUGGGUUGCAAAAGAAGUAGGUAGCUUAACCUUCGGGAGGGCGCUUACCACUUUGUGAUUCAUGACUGGGGUGAAGUCGUAACAAGGUAACCGUAGGGGAACCUGCGGUUGGAUCACCUCCUUACCUGAAAGAAGC